CUUAUCUUAAGUCUGCUUGCAAGAAGUAAUGGAAUACAAUAACUGAUUUUGUAUAGGAUUGAAACACCCUUUUCUUUACUAGCUCAAGAGUUAUUAUAGGUUUUGACUAGGUCUUAGCAAACCUUGCACUCGAAUCUUCCAGAAGUAAAUACCAAGUAACGUAGAGACAUAGCUUGUGAUCUUUUGAACGCACCAUUUCAAC